CCCGGUAUGGUCUAGAUGGAGACGACGGCAGUUGGGCACCCAACGGUGCACGCUGCAGACCUGGGUUCGAACCCCAGUACCGGGG